rnacentral:rRNA from 1 species
UACGUAGGCAGCAAGCGUUGUUCGGAGUUACUGGGCGUAAAGGGUGUGUAGGCGGUUCUUUAAGUUUGCUGUGAAAUCUCCCGGCUUAACCGGGAGGGUGCGGUGAAUACUGAGGGACUAGAGUACGGAAGAGGAGAGUGGAAUCCUGGUGUAGCGGUGAGAUGCGCAGAUAUCAGGAAGAACACCUAUGGCGAAGGCAGCUCUCUGGGACGGUACUGACGCUGAGACGCGAAAGCGUGGGGAGCGAACAGG